CGCGGACGGAGGCGGGCGGUCUGCUAGGUGACGUCCUUCGCGUACUCCUUUCCGAAGACGUGGAGAGGCGGUCCUCCUCGCCGGGCUCCCCGGGUCUCUCGGUUCUCCUGGGGAACCCUCGCUCUUGACGCCGAGAGACCUACAGCCAAUUCCAGCGGACGGUGUGAGCGUCCUGCCCGCCAUCGGCCGUCAGAGCCACACGGAACAGGCACCCUGGUGGGACCGGGUCCCGGAGCCCUCCGCGCCGGGCCGAGAACCGACCACCGCGUCUGCGCAGCGGGCUGUGGAGAAGCUGCGGGAGCGGCCGGGGCGGCCUCGGUCCUCAGGGUACGCAGCCCCGCCGGCUCCGCGCCCUCCGAGCGAUCCGCCUCCCGAGCCAUCCCCGGAGCCCGUCCUGUCUCGUUGGAAAUUGAAGCCGUUAGUGUCUUAACUCAAAGGGAGAAAAAUUGGAAGAUGACGUCAGUUUUCCAUUCCCUCAGCUCACUGCCACUUGCAGCACCCUCAGUGGCUUGCGUACCUUUGAGGAAGGAGUAAUGCUGCCUUAGCAACUUGAAGGGAAAGUGAUCAACAUCAUACACUUCAGCUCAUUGUGACUCUUUAUUCAUGUUUCCUAGUAUUUUCUAGGAGUGAUGUUCUACCUUGAUCUUUACUUUUUUAAUGAAUUCUUAUUAAUGAAAUUUUUACAGGGCUAUGGAAAUUUUACGUUAGUUCUGGAAGGGAUUAUAGAAAUCAUCUAAUCAAACUCAAUUCAUGUUUAUUUGAAAUUUCUCUAUCAUUUAAACCUCAUUAUUUUUGUUAGCUUCUGAUUUGUCAUGUUUACCAGGCAUUCAUUUCCUUAGCUGACCAAGAAUUAUACUUGCACAUUUAGUCCAGUGAGAGAAUUUACUUUUUUUUAAAUAAUGAUGGUGAACCCUGGUUAUCACAACCUCAGUGUUCUCUAGUAUCUCAUCACAUAUCACUACUCAAUGAGAGCUUGUUGGUGAGGGACCUCAGUCUCCUAAGUAUUGCACAUCAUCCUCAUUUUCCACUGUGUCUCGGUAAUGACUUCUGUGAUUGUCAAAAGAUCUUCCAUAUGGACGUCAUUUGUAGCACCAACCACAGAGUAGAACUCAAAAACUGAGAUUAAGAUUUAUUUUAUUUCCAAGAAGAAACAAUUGUGAUAAAACAAUAUUCUUCUCACAAAACCUCCAUUGGUGCUACCUACUGUUUACCAAAUAAUGGCAUAACUAGAUCAGUGGUGUUAUGUUCUUAUGAAUUAGUUCUGUAAUUUAUCAAGAUCGACAAUAAAGAACAAGAUUUGCAGAAGUAAUUAACUGUGAUUUUGUUUAUUUACUCUUAAGCAUGGACUGUACAG
rnacentral:lncRNA from 1 species